AUUGUACAAUGCAUGCAAUUAUUUUAAAACUUUUCAUUUUUAAAAGUUUUCAUUGUAGUUAAUGCCUUUUUCUGCGUAAUCCAUAAUGUAAUGUAAUGUAAUGUAAUUGAAACAUUUGUUUUUUUUAAUAUCAUAAUUAUUUUAUAAAAUGUAUUACUCAUAACAAUCAGUGAAAUAAAUGUGAAACGCAUGUUAUUGUGUUUUAGGUUCACUUAUCAGUGAAAGAUAUUUUUUUAUGUUCCACAUGACUAUGAUCACAGCUUCUGCUGUAAUGUAUAAAGUUCUUAAUUUACAAGUUGUUGUGUGUUUAUCACAUCAAUUAAUAAUUUAUGGUGUGUUUGAUUUCAUUGCUAGGACAAUGCAGGACAAAGGCUGUCAAAUAACUGGAGUGUUUGUCUUGAUGGCAAUAUGCACUGUAUGUUAUUCUGGGACAGAAGUUUGACUUCACUGAAGUAAACAUGAAGAACAUAGGAAAAUGGUGGUGUGCCAUCUUGCUUGAAAAUUAAACAUGGGAGAAAGAGAAAAUGAGCUGUUGUAGCUGAAGAAGAAGAAGAAUGCUCUGCACUCCCUGAAACCUACGGGAAGAAAAAAAAUGAACUUGCAUAUGAAACAGACCAAACCGCAGUUGUGCCCUUUGUUUUUAGCAAGGAUGAGCUGUUAAAAGAUGAUGACCCUCCAUCAAGCUUUAUCUUCAAGGUAGUUGAAUGUUAUAUAAUGUGCUUUUUUUAAAAAUGUAACGGCCUGUGCUAACUUUUCAGUUAUCAGGAGCGUUGCUGAAGAACAUAGUUGUUCUUCAAGAAGAAGAUGCUGCCUACACGCUUGGCUUGCUCAAGGUUCAGGGACAUAGUUGGUGAUGACAAGUUCAAGAAUCAGGCACACUUCUUAUGGCUAGAAAGUUAUGCUGGGAAGGGAAAGCGAGGUGAACUCCAGGGCAUUUAUUCAAAAACCUUCCACCCUGGAUUUUGCAGAUUUGACUGCAUGCAGAUCAGUUCUAAUGAGCUGAUAUAGUUUCCUUACAAAGACUAAAAAUAAUAAAAUAAAAUAAACACUUUUGCAAUCAAUUCUGAGUGACUUGUACAUGAUUUUGUUCAUUGAAAAAAUAAUUUAAAUGUAAUAUAUGUGUAACACAUUCAGAAAAACAUUAGUCUGCUAUUUAAAAAAAAUGCAGUAAAGAUGGAUGGUAACUUUAUUUUACAUUAGCCACAUGUUUUUCAUGUAUUUACACAUUCACUUAACUAAGUCCAGUUGCAUCACAUUUUAAUAUGUUCAUUUACUUGAUAUUGUAGAAUAUGGAGCUUCAGAAAUGUGUUUGAA